rnacentral:rRNA from 1 species
GGAGGGUGCAAGCGUUAAUCGGAAUCACUGGGCGUAAAGCGCACGUAGGCGGCUUGGUAAGUCAGGGGUGAAAUCCCACAGCCCAACUGUGGAACUGCCUUUGAUACUGCCAGGCUUGAGUACCGGAGAGGGUGGCGGAAUUCCAGGUGUAGGAGUGAAAUCCGUAGAUAUCUGGAGGAACACCGGUGGCGAAGGCGGCCACCUGGACGGUAACUGACGCUGAGGUGCGAAAGCGUGGGUAGCAAACAGGAUUAGAUACCCUGGUAGUCCACGCCCUAAACGAUGUCUACUGGUUGUUGGGGUUUUUUAACCUUGGUAACGAAGCUAACGCGUGAAGUAGACCGCCUGGGGAGU